CCUACGGGGGGCAGCAGUGGGGAAUAUUGCACAAUGGGGGAAACCCUGAUGCAGCGACGCCGCGUGAGUGAAGAAGUAUUUCGGUACGUAAAGCUCUAUCAGCAGGGAAGAAAAUGACGGUACCUGACUAAGAAGCCCCGGCUAACUACGUGCCAGCAGCCGCGGUAAUACGUAGGGGGCAAGCGUUAUCCGGAUUUACUGGGUGUAAAGGGAGCGUAGACGGCCGCGCAAGCCUGGUGUGAAAGCCCAGGGCUUAACCACGGAACUGCAUUGGAAACUGUGAAGCUAGAGUGCCGGAGAGGUAAGCGGAAUUCCUAGUGUAGCGGUGAAAUGCGUAGAUAUUAGGAGGAACACCAGUGGCGAAGGCGGCUUACUGGACUGUAACUGACGUUGAGGCUCGAAAGCGUGGGGAGCAAACAGGAUUAGAUACCCUUGUAGUC
rnacentral:rRNA from 1 species